GACAUACUAAGAACUUUCCAGAGAUGGAUUGGUGCCUUCGGGAACUUAGAUACAGGUGCUGCAUGGCUGUCGUCAGCUCGUGUCGUGAGAUGUUGGGUUAAGUCCCGNAACGAGCGCAACCCUUUUUCCUUAUUUGCCAGCGGGUCAUGCCGGGAACUUUAAGGAUACUGCCAGUGACAAACUGGAGGAAGGCGGGGACGACGUCAAGUCAUCAUGGCCCUUACGGCCAGGGCUACACACGUGCUACAAUGGUCGGUACAAAGGGUUGCUACCUCGCGAGAGGAUGCUAAUCUCAAAAAGCCGAUCGUAGUCCGGAUCGCAGUCUGCAACUCGACUGCGUGAAGUCGGAAUCGCUAGUAAUCGCGGAUCAGAAUGCCGCGGUGAAUACGUUCCCGGGCCUUGUACACACCGCCCGUCACACCAUGGGAGUUUGUUGCACCAGAAGUAGGUAGUCUAACCGCAAGGAGGACGCUUACCACGGUGUGGCCGAUGACUGGGGUGAAGUCGUAACAAGGUAGGCGUAGAUGA
rnacentral:rRNA from 1 species